UUGAACGCUGGCGGCAUGCCUUACACAUGCAAGUCGAACGGUAACAGGUCUUCGGAUGCUGACGAGUGGCGAACGGGUGAGUAAUACAUCGGAACGUGCCCGAUCGUGGGGGAUAACGGAGCGAAAGCUUUGCUAAUACCGCAUACGAUCUACGGAUGAAAGCAGGGGACCGCAAGGCCUUGCGCGGACGGAGCGGCCGAUGGCAGAUUAGGUAGUUGGUGGGAUAAAAGCUUACCAAGCCGACGAUCUGUAGCUGGUCUGAGAGGACGACCAGCCACACUGGGACUGAGACACGGCCCAGACUCCUACGGGAGGCAGCAGUGGGGAAUUUUGGACAAUGGGCGAAAGCCUGAUCCAGCCAUGCCGCGUGCGGGAAGAAGGCCUUCGGGUUGUAAACCGCUUUUGUCAGGGAAGAAAUCCUUUGAGCUAAUACCUCGGAGGGAUGACGGUACCUGAAGAAUAAGCACCGGCUAACUACGU
rnacentral:rRNA from 1 species